rnacentral:rRNA from 1 species
AACGAACGCUGGCGGCAGGCCUAACACAUGCAAGUCGAGCGGACCCUUCGGGGUUAGCGGCGGACGGGUGAGUAACGCGUGGGAAUAUGCCCUUCUCUACGGAAUAGUCCUGGGAAACUGGGGGUAAUACCGUAUACGCCCUUUGGGGGAAAGAUUUAUCGGGGAAGGAUUAGCCCGCGUUGGAUUAGGUAGUUGGUGGGGUAAUGGCCUACCAAGCCGACGAUCCAUAGCUGGUUUGAGAGGAUGAUCAGCCACACUGGGACUGAGACACGGCCCAGACUCCUACGGGAGGCAGCAGUGGGGAAUCUUAGACAAUGGGGGCAACCCUGAUCUAGCCAUGCCGCGUGAGUGAUGAAGGCCUUAGGGUUGUUAAGCUCUUUCAGCUGGGAAGAUAAUGACGGUACCAGCAGAAGAAGCCCCGGCUAACUCCGUG